rnacentral:rRNA from 1 species
GGACCCGCACAAGCGGUGGAGCAUGUGGUUUAAUUCGAAGCAACGCGAAGAACCUUACCAAGUCUUGACAUCUAACUGACAGGCUGUUAACCCAGCCAUUCCUUCGGGACAGUUAAGACAGGUGGUGCAUGGUUGUCGUCAGCUCGUGUCGUGAGAUGUUGGGUUAAGUCCCGCAACGAGCGCAACCCUUAUCUUUAGUAGCCAGCGAGUAGAGUCGGGCACUCUAGAGAGACUGCCGGGGAUAACCCGGAGGAAGGUGGGGAUGACGUCAAAUCAUCAUGCCCCUUAUGAUUUGGGCUACACACGUGCUACAAUGGCGUAAACAAAGGGAGGCGACCCUGUGAAGGUGAGCAAAUCCCAAAAAUAACGUCUCAGUUCGGAUUGUAGUCUGCAACUCGACUACAUGAAGCUGGAAUCGCUAGUAAUCGCGGAUCAGAAUGCCGCGGUGAAUACGUUCCCGGGUCUU